GACGAACGCUGGCGGCGUGCCUAAUACAUGCAAGUAGAACGCUGAAGGAGGAGCUUUCUUCUCUGGACGAGUGGCGAACGGGUGAGUAACACGUGGGUAACCUGCCCGUGAGCGGGGGAUAACUAUUGGAAACGCUAGCUAAUACCGCAUAAGAGUAGAUGCUGCAUGACAUUGGCUGAAAAGGUGCGAUUGUAUCGCAACCAGUUGGGGCUUCGUUGUAUUAGCUAGGGGGUGGGGUAACGGCGCAACAAGGCGACGAAACAUAGUCGAACUGGGAGGGGGGUCAGCCACCCUGGGACUGGGACACGGCCCAGACUCCCACGGGAGGCAGCCGGAGGGAAUCUUCGGGCAUGGGCGGAGAGCUUGCCGAGCAACGCCGAGUGAGUGAAGAAGGUUUUCGGGUCGUAAAGCUCUGUUGUCAGGGAAGAAAGAGUGUGAGAGUGGAAAGUUCACACUGUGACGGUAACUAAUCAGAAAGCGACGGCUAACUACGUG
rnacentral:rRNA from 1 species